AUUUCUUUUUUUAAAAAAAUAACUUUUUUGACAGAUAUGAACAAAAAAAAUCUAUUAUUAUUUACCUUUUGCAUAAGUGUUUAAUUAAAAUUUUAAUGGUUUUUUUUUCCCGAAUUAGAAAGAUCUAAUUUAAAAAAUCUUUUAGGUUUUCUCCUAAUGUAGCAUUAUUAGACUUAUAUUUUUAGUUAGAAGCGAAAAACUUUCAUUUUCUUUGAUAGCUGGAUUUUUCUGAAAAGUAUUUAGUACUAAAUAUAAUUAAGAAGUUUUUAGAUUUCUUAAAAAAAGAAUUUUUAUUUUUUAAUUUAAUUAGAAAUAAACCUCAUAAUUACAAUAUUUUUUUUAAUAUUUUUAUUAAUUUUCAUCUUUUUUAUAUGGAAAAAACUCAAAUAACCUGUUUUUAAGUUUUAUAAUGUUAAAAUUAGUAAAAAAUAAACUAAGAAAAGAAACUCGGCAAAAAUAAUUCUUACCUGUUUAUCAAAAACAUAGCUUGAAGGAUACAUUUUAAGUGAAUUCUGCCCAGCGUUAUGUAUUAGCGGCCGCAGUACCUUGACUGUGCUAAGGUAGCAUAAUCAAUUGGCUUUUAAUUGAAGUCUGGAAUGAAAGGUUUGUUAAGGAAUUUUCUGUCUCUUUUUAGCUUUUAUGAAUUUAUUUAUAAAGUGAAAAUACUUUUUAUUAGAAAAAAGACGAGAAGACCCUUAGAAUUUUUAUUAAAAGGUUUUUUAAAUCUCUUAUUUUUGUUGGGGCGACAAUGAAACAUUUAAACUUUCAUAUAAAAACAUGUCAUUUUUUUUGUAUGGUAAAAUUACCUUAGGGAUAACAGCAUAAUGAUUAAUAUAGCUUAUGACCUCGAUGUUGGACUAGGAACUAAAAGAUUAACCGUCAAAAUAGAUCGUUCUGUUCGAACAACAGUUUCCUACAUGAUCUGAGUUCAGACCGGCGUAAGCCAGGUCAGUUUCUAUCUUUUAUUUAUUAUGUUUUUAGUACGAAAGGACCAAAAGAUUUUUUUUAA
rnacentral:rRNA from 1 species